rnacentral:rRNA from 1 species
UACGUAGGGUGCAAGCGUUAAUCGGAAUUACUGGGCGUAAAGCGUGCGCAGGCGGUUUUGUAAGUCUGACGUGAAAUCCCCGGGCUCAACCUGGGAAUUGCGUUGGAGACUGCAAGGCUGGAGUCUGGCAGAGGGGGGUAGAAUUCCACGUGUAGCAGUGAAAUGCGUAGAGAUGUGGAGGAACACCGAUGGCGAAGGCAGUCCCCUGGGUCAAGACUGACGCUGAGGAGCGAAAGCGUGGGGAGCGAACAGG